rnacentral:rRNA from 1 species
ACGAAGGGGGCUAGCGUUGCUCGGAAUGACUGGGCGUAAAGGGCGUGUAGGCGGUUUGCCCAGUUAGAUGUGAAAUCCCCGGGCUUAACCUGGGAGCUGCAUUUAAUACGUGCAGACUAGAGUGUGAGAGAGGGUUGUGGAAUUCCCAGUGUAGCGGUGAAAUGCGUAGAUAUUGGGAAGAACACCGGUGGCGAAGGCGACAACCUGGCUCAUGACUGACGCUGAGGCGCGAAAGCGUGGGGAGCAAACAG